CACGGAAGUAGCAUGAUUCAUACAUUGAGAUAUUACCACUGUACAUAGAACCAAAGCCAUGAGAACUCCCAUCAUGUAGCAACAUGAGUCGAAAUGCAAUGGCAGGGGGAUAGAAUAAGAACUUAGCUUUAGAAGAGGAAAGGGGCCACUGCACUGCUCUGCUCUGAAACCAAGGAGGACGGUGCGACGAAGCUCGGAGGACGACGGAGGCGGCGGGCCUUCACCUGCCGCCCGGAGGAAUGCAGCAGCAACGGCGAGAUUGAGAGUGGGCUGAGGGGACUAGUGCUCGACCAGUAGUGAGUUCAGAGAGGAGAGGUAGACUCUCAUCGGAAUUUCGGAGACCACGGUGGUGACCAGCGUUCUGAAUCGGAGAUGAGUCAGCGGCCUGACGAAUGACGGACGCAGCCGCGAGUGCAGCGGCGCGGCGAAUCCCGCCAGCCUCCCAAAUUGUGGCGGCGGCGAUUUCCGAUUUGGG
rnacentral:lncRNA from 1 species